AUCAUAUAAAAUUUUAUGGUUUAAGUAGUGAGAUUUUGU
rnacentral:guide_RNA from 1 species